ensembl:lncRNA
CGCGAAAGGAGGAUAACGGCAAACUAUUGAUUUUCAAAUUGGUCCGUGCGGUGUCACGUGAUGACCUGGCACCUUUCUGCUGUGUGUAAAGACACCGGAUUAUCCCGUGACCUGCUGGAUCAUAAUCUCUUUAUUGACAGUACAAGUAGAGCCGGAAUGAGUCAUGACAUGUUUUGUUCAAGACAUUUUUCUUACUUCAUAAUGUUAAUGUUGUUCCGAUGCAUGUUAGUAGUGAAAUAUCCAACUUCCCCUGAACGCCGCCGACUUCAACACAACUCCAUCUGCAAUAAUCUGCCAAUAUGGUGGUGGCCGGCCAGCCAGCCAGCCGUGACGUAGGCGGAGGGAUUAGGUCACCUUGUGAGUCAUAUUGAAAUUCAGCGACGGUAAUCUCCACCGCUGCCUUUUGUCACCCGAGGGUGCAAAGCCUGCGGGCGGGCUGUUCGUCUCAGAGUGGCUCAAAAGGCAUUUCUACAUCACAUUGGCCCCCGGGACAUGAAGGCAAAGUCCCACCUGGGCAUUAAAAGACUCUGGUUGUCAUAGCGACACUUCAGGGAGGCAGUCAACAAGGUCAUUGGGUCAAAUGAAGGCAAGAGGGCCGGUUCUGUGGUUUUGUGUAUUUCCCUUUGUGUGUGUGUGUGUCUGCAUGACUAAUAGUUCACUGAUCAUCAACAACACACCAGAAGAUCUCCUGUAUGAGAGUAAUACUGCGAAAUACAAGUACAAUACUCCCGCAGGUGGUCUGAAGGUCAUUGUAGGUCCAGGUGUUUAUCUAUAAAGCCUCAAUCGAGGGCUUCGUAAAGAGGAAAGGUGUCGCCGUGAGCGGUUUGUGUUAAUCAUCAUGUUUAUCUAAUGAUAACUCACAGGCCUGUACGACCUUUUCAUUAAUAUUUAACGGGACAAAAAUGUUAUUGUUAGUCGAUGUGCUUUUAAUGGAUACAGUGUGUGUAAGUUUAUGUCUACUUAAUGCAGGUUUCUGAUUGUAUGUUUUUUUUGCAUGUAAAAUGAUAAUUCAGUAUUCUGGGUUUUAUUGGUUUAUUAUUGGUUUAUAUAACUGCAUAUAUCACUAUCACAAUUUGGUGAAUUUUUGGAUGU